AGACCACAGGCGCCGGUCUCCCACACGCCGCCGCACCUUCGGGUUCCAGCCUCACUGCCUGCGACAACCCGGCUCCGCACGACCUUUUAAAGGUAGCUUUUCUGAGCUCAAGGGAAAGCCCCAAAUAUGGGAACCUGGAAAGAAGUAUUGAGAGAGUGAUCCUUUGGGAUAGGAGGUUGAAGAAACAGCAUUUGUUCAGUGUGCCAGGCGAGAUCGUGCAUUCGUGUAUGAUUGUUUUAUUAUGAAUCCUUUCACAGGUGAGACACGUGUCCUCCUAAAACUCAAGGCGGGAAAAACACAAAAGGCCAGCCAGUUCCUGCUGGUGGACAUGCUGAAGGAGGACCUGAGAUGCUAAAGAAACAGCUCACACACAAGGGGAAGGAAGCCCAGGUAGAGGGUAUGGAUCCCUCGAACCUGUCAGCAGACGGAACACGCGGCUCCUCGUGUGCAGAGAAACAGCUCCAUCCGAGAACACAGCCUGGACCUCCGCCUACUCAUGUGAUGAAGGAACAACAGUAGCCUUGGCAACCCUCCCUUGUGCCACCUACCUGCAGCCAGCUUCUCCCCCACCACCAUCACCAGCAGGUCACUCUGGCCAUCUUUGAUGGCCCUCUAUGGGAGAUAUCACUAUGACCUCAGCUUCCCCCUGGUUGGUUGGCAAGAGUAUCUUGCUACAACCAACCUUUUCAUGGAUACAUGGUCAUAUCAUCUGCGGGCUGGUGAGGUGGACACCUGCCAUCAAGUCUGUCAAGCUGAGUUCUAUCCCUCAGACCAAGGUAAAAGAAGAGAACC